AAUAAACAGAAAUCUGCAAUGACUGAAUGUUUUCAUCUUCGAGUUUGCAAUAUAACAAGGAAUGGACAGAGGAGUUGACUAUGGAUAAUGACUGAUACUGGAAUAAAGGAAACUAUAUACAGUGUCAAAUGAUUCCAUGCCUGACAGUCCAUUUUUAUAUGUACAUAAAAUGUAUGUUGACAGCCAAUGAAUUACAUAUUUGUAGCUCCCAAGAUGUAUGUGGAAGUGAAGCUAUACACAAUAAAUGAAUGAAUUGAUUAGAUAUACAUGUAGAAGAGACCCUAGAUCAACAGUACAUGUAACUUAAACUGGAUCUGUAGGAAGUAUUCCAAGAGUCUGAUUGCUAAGUAUGCAUUACAGGAUUUUAUUAUUGGAGCAACAUCUUAGGAGGAUAAGUGCAAAUGUAUGAAGGAAUCCUUGGGAACAAAAAGCAAUUAUAUGCAGAAGAGGAGUCUUAAACAUUAUUAACAGAGUCAAAGUAGUGGUGUAUUCAAGAAGUGUAAACCAACUGGAAUUAACUAUUGUGUAUAUUUUUUCUACAUCAAGCACUUUCAGAAUUAU